rnacentral:rRNA from 1 species
GACGAACGCUGGCGGCGUGCCUAAUACAUGCAAGUCGAACGAGAAUUGCUUACACCGAGUGCUUGCACUCACCGUAAGGAAUUCGAGUGGCGGACGGGUGAGUAACACGUGGGUAACCUGCCUAUCAGAGGGGGGUAACACUUGGAACAGGUGCUAAUACCGCAUAACAUUGAAAAGCGCAUGCUUUUUCAAUUAAAAGGCGCUUCUGGUGUCACUGAUAGAUGGACCCGCGGCGUAUUAGCUAGUUGGUGGGGUGACGGCCUACCAAGGCAAUGAUACGUAGCCGAGUUGAGAGACUGAUCGGCCACAAUGGGACUGAGACACGGCCCAUACCCCUACGGGAGGCAGCAGUAGGGAAUCUUCCACAAUGGGCGCAAGCCUGAUGGAGCAACGCCGCGUGCGUGAAGAAGGUCUUCGGAUCGUAAAGCGCUGUUGUUAGAG